UGUUUCAGAUCACAAACACUGACUAUUUGCCAUGCCUCUUGGGAACUUGGAAAUGCUCAAGUCACUGGAGCAAACAUUGUUGAGAAUCAAGAGAGGCUAAUUGGUCUUCACAACAUUUGUGUAGGAUGCGGCCGCUCGAUUUUCAGUCAGUUCUCGCACAAUAUUGAGAGAAACUCCUACAAAUGAAGAAGGCCCAAUAGUUGAUAUUAUAUCACAGUGGAUACAUCCAAGACAGAUUACUCAAAGUGAUCAAGCAUGUACCACAUGUUGGUUACGCGCUCAGAGAACUCUCCGUCGUCAGCAAUUGGUUGAUGAGGCCAGAAACAUAAAUGAAGAAUUAACAACAUGUGUCAAUUGCAACAAAGAUUUGUUACAUAGCAAUGGCUACUUAUUGAGAAACGAAGACGAAAAUGUCAUCAACAUCAUUAAAGGCUGGAUAGGUAUAUCCUAUUAAUAUCAACCUCAUGGAUAGUAUUUGCCAUGCUUGUUGGCAACUUGCAAAUGAAGCAGCACGGCAAGGUUCUGAGUCACCAGAGACUGCAUCCCAACCGUUGGAGACAGAUGACCCUCCUGACUC